UAGAACAGACGCCGUCUGCCUCCUCCGUGAGAACAGCGCCCUCUGGUGACGGGCUGCAGUAUAGGUCCUAAACCCCGCCUCCUUAUGGAGCUGUGGACAAACUUUCUAAAUGAAUGACACAGAAUAUAAAUGUUUCUCCCCCCUGGUUGUGAUGUUGACAUGUAGUUACUGUCAGACUGGUUUGUGCUCAAGUCCUCUUUUUUCUGUACAGCUCCAUUUUUAAAAGUUAUUAGGGGGUUCAUGUUUUCUAUGAUUGACACCUGAUACAGCCAAUGGGAGGACAGAGAUUGGGUAGAUCACCGGGGGAUACGCUGUUUGAGCCGAGCGUCAUCACAGCGACUCUCCCGCCGAAUACGAACAACGUUACUGAACAAUGUUGGUUUCAGGACGUGGAGAAAAAACGCAGAAUUACUGAGAACUUUUC